rnacentral:rRNA from 1 species
UGGGGAAUAUUGCACAAUGGGCGCAAGCCUGAUGCAGCCAUGCCGCGUGUAUGAAGAAGGCCUUCGGGUUGUAAAGUACUUUCAGCGGGGAGGAAGGGAGUAAAGUUAAUACCUUUGCUCAUUGACGUUACCCGCAGAAGAAGCACCGGCUAACUCCGUGCCAGCAGCCGCGGUAAUACGGAGGGUGCAAGCGUUAAUCGGAAUUACUGGGCGUAAAGCGCACGCAGGCGGUUUGUUAAGUCAGAUGUGAAAUCCCCGGGCUCAACCUGGGAACUGCAUGCGAAACUGGCAGGCUAGAGUCUUGUAGAGGGGGGUAGAAUUCCAGGUGUAGCGGUGAAAUGCGUAGAGAUCUGGAGGAAUACCGGUGGCGAAGGCGGCCCCCUGGACAAAGACUGACGCUCAGGUGCGAAAGCGUGGGGAGCAAACAGG